GUGUGAGCAAGUGAAAUUGGAAAGAAACAGGCACAUGGGCAGCCACAGGGCAUUCGGGCUCUUUUGAAGUGCUGUGGUCUCAGCAAGGGAUGUUAGCCUGUGAGUCGAGCCUUUCUCAGUAAUGUUAAUUAUACAUGCUAGUUAUUUCUGCUAAAACGUGAUUUUAAAGCUCAAAUCUACUUAUGAAAUCAUACUAACACAUGGGAAAUCAUGCUUUCAUGGUCUGCUUUACUUAAAAAUAAGGAAGCAGGAAGGUAAUGUAGGACUGAGCAUUUCUUUAAUGAAACCACGCUUGGUGAUCCCGCCUGACAUGCAGCAUCUCAGGUGCUUAAGACAGAAGAACAGGAAAUCAAAACUAGUCACCACCGGGUGUUCUCUGAGCACAGGCUUUCCUCCUCCCCAUCUCCCAGCAGGAGGCGCAGAGCUCCUGGGAUCACACUGACAAUCCCCCCUGUUCUGAGGCUCAACUGGACUACGCUGCACAUAAGUGCAUAUACAUGUGAACCAAUGUAGCGCCUCUACUUUCCUUGCUUUGCAAGACCUUCUGCAGCCUGUCAAAAGAUUUCCUGAUGAUGACGGCACAAUGCAAAGUCACGGGUGUUCCCUGAGCAGUCUGCAGCAGUUCUUUCUAGCUCCAAAUUUUCAGAUGUGUGUGAAUGUGAGGGUUCUGUCACAGUGGGUAAAGGAGUGAUUCCUAUCCAAAGUGAGCCGCCCUGAAAACAAUUUAUCACAAAGAAAACGGGACGAACAUCCCAUACACCAAACUCCCCCGCCAGAACUCACUGUCCUGGAAACUAUGAGCCACACGAACUCAAAACAAGAGUCCUGGGCCUGUCAUAGAAUAUGGGAGGGCUCAGAAAAACCCACUUGCUCUAGAUUUCCUGAGGGAUCUGACAACAGCAAUGUGAAAGCUAGUAACAGCAAGCUUCCCCAGCCAAGGUGCUGUGUGAGCUUUCAUCACAGCCUGUCUCUGGCAUGGUCAGCCAAGCCACCCCUAAGCCUAGAUCUGCACUGCACAUCCAAAUGGGCUUCUCUCCGCCUCCUGCCCAGCCCUCCCCCGCUCCCUGCACGCCGGACCCGCCUACCCGCAGAGUUCCUGGAUUUGCAAGUCUAGGCUGCACCCGGGACCAACCUUCAUGUUAAGCGCGAAGAACAAGCCACACUGUCCCAACUUUGAGAACACCGCAGAGUUUGGAGAAUCACAAACGUAAAAAGAACCCGGAAGCACAGAGAGCAGAGUCCUGUCUAGCGGGGUCAUACAGAAAGAGAGAGAGAGACUACAUUUCCCAGAAGUCUACGCGAAGGACUACCCGGAACCAAAGAAGGCAAAGAAUUUAAAGCGCAUGGAUUGUAUGUAACUGGAAUUAGGCUGCUUUUAAAAAUCCCAAAUUUACAAAGGGCAUUUUGAGAAUAUGAGUCCAGCCUUUAACGGUAAUAUGUAUUAGAUUUACUUCUUACUCUGAUCAAUGCUGUGACUUAAAAAGCUCAGGGGUUCCUAGAAUCUUAUGGGGGGCAGAAAAAAAAUCACAUUGAGUCAAUUUUACUUUAAAAUAACGGAGCAAGAAGCUACUUUAGGGCACACCACAAACUCUUUAGGAUAGUUUUUGAAACCAAGUUUCCUGGAAAUAUUCUGAAAUCUCAGCUACUCUGGGGUUUGAGACAGAAGAAUCACAAGUCUAUGUCCCAAAUUACACAGUACCAAAAGAGAUGGGGGCUACUCACUGGUGAAGCACUUGCCUGGAGUGAAGGAGGCCUUGGUUUAAUACCCAUUAUGACACUAAAUCAAAGAGGAAAAAAAAAUAACCGAACAGAUUUGAUGUGUACACUGAAAUCCACGGUUUGGGGCGUGGACUAGGGAACACAGAUGUCUCUUACCUAUAAGUCCCAGAAACCCUUUGAGAUUUUCAUCUGUCCUUAGUCCCCUUGUCCACACGUUCCUCCGAUAUCCGUGUAAACAAUUUAACAUUUGAGAGAGCUUCACCAGAUUCUCUUUCACAAUCUCAUACAACUAUUCACCACCAAAUGUUCUUCCUGGCUCCUCUCCCAGUUAGAGGAAAACUGGUCUUGGAAUCAGUAUGGUGUGUGAACUGACUCCUGACCCACUAUCCAACACUCAUCAUAAGAUUUCUCUCUGUAUUACUUCGGAUCUGCCCUAUUCAACUUCCAGUCUCUUUCUGGACUCCUUACAUUACUCCCAUUCAUGUGGAAGUACUUAAAGGUUCUUUUGUUUUGUUUUGUUUUUUGCUUGAAGUUCACUCUAUUCCCUCAUCUCAUAACACAGGAAUGAAUCUUCCUUUAAUACAAAGGUAUCAGAAAUAUGUUCCUGAUCAUACAGAAUGAACUCAUUGCAAGAAAGGGGCUGGACUGACACCACGGAGUGAUGGGACUCCCUAUCUCGUGUGUAUGUAUUCCUGUACUGGUAACAUCUGAGACCCAACGAUAAACCCCACGAGAGGAAAGAGUUUGUUUUCGUGCCAUGGUCACUGAUUCACAAUGAGAUUACUUCUUGGAUGAGAGAGUGGGAAGAUCAGAUUGUUCUUUUUUUGUUUCAUCACCAGAAAGAAAUUGUGCUGGGUUUUAUAUCAAUUUGACACAAGCUAAAGUCAUCAGAGGAGGAAGCCUCAGUGAGAAAAAGCCUCUAUAUGGUUGGGCUGUGGGCAAGCCUGUAGGGCAUUUCAUCUUCACAAUAAGUAAUAGAUGUAGGAGGGCCUAGGAUGUUGUGGGUGGUGCCAACCUUGGGCUGGGGUCCUGGGUUCUCUAAGAAUCAGGCUGAGUAAGCAACACCUCUCCAUGGCCUUGCAUCUGCUCCUGCUUCCAGAUUCCUGCCCUGUUUGAGGUUCUGUCUUGGCUUUCUCCAAUGGACAGUAGUCCAGGAUAUGUAAACCAAAUAAACCCUCUUGUCCCCGUG
rnacentral:lncRNA from 1 species